CAAUUAGUCACCAAAGCAUGUCCUUUCCACGUCACAUAGUCUCUCGCUUUCUGAAAAGGACUCUUUGCUCAUGUCUCUUAGUUUGAGCUGGAAUAAUUGCAAGACCCACAAGUUACCCAUGUUCUACUUACAUAGGAGAGAAGGAGGAGGGUUCAAAGGGAGGAUGAAGGGAACGUAUAUGGCCAACAUACAUGAUAUACUUGACUAAAACUGUGUUACUAUGGAAUUGAAAUCUCUGUAUAAUAAAUACAUACUGAUAUAUUAUA